rnacentral:lncRNA from 1 species
UGCACAUGAAGCACCACUUAUAUACUAAGAGACUAGUAGUAAGGAUCCAUGUGGUCUGUAUAGCAUUUAAUUUGUAAGAAAAUGUAUCUAAGUCCUGACCUAUCGUGACAUGUGCGAUGACAAUAGCCAUCUUUAAGUACCAAAUAAAACUAAAAUUUGCUCUCUAAGUUUCAUGUUUAGCUACUGUCACUUGCUCACCUGAGAUAAGAGCCAAGCAGCUUAUGUGCUGCCCACCUGCUUUUGCACAAGAACUGAAGCUGAAAUUGUUGCUGGAAUCGAUAAACAAAGGACCCCCAUGUUGCUCUUCUGAAC